GCUCUGGAAGUGAGCAGUCAUGACCUCUGAGAGGGUGUUUGUGUUUGUUGAUGAAGAGGAGCUGUUCAGCGUGAUGAAGGAUGCUGACUGUCUCUACUGCAGGAUUCCUGUCACUGCCUCCAAACAGCACCUCAAAAAGAGACAUCUCAGAUUCGCUAUAUAUUAUAAAGACGCCGGCAUUGGGAGGUUUUCUAUCCCCUGUUACUGCUCUGAUGGAGGCCAUGGCAGGAGCCACUGGCACUGCCCGAUGUGCUCGAAAAUAUUGCACAGGACACAGAACUACAAAAUCCACAUUACCAACCACGGUGUUGAGAUGACAGACAAAUCCUCAGCUGAGCUUCAGCCUACAACAGUCCUGUUAGAGAGCCUGCAAACACACAGCGAAGACAAGACACCGGGCAGCAAGGCAGCGUGCCAGAAGUGUGGCAUCCUCUUUACCACCACAUCAAAUUUGAGACGGCAUGAGAGACUACAGCACGGCCAAGACCAGCAGCCCAUUUUAUGCGUAGAUGCCAAAAAUGCCAUCUAUGUUACACCCAAAUAUCUGCACGGGCCGAGAGUGCCCAUUCAUAUCCGCAAAUCCUUCACCUUGCAGAUUCUGCUGUGUGAGCUGGAGGAAUGCUGGGAUUUCAUGAAAGCGCAGGCCCAGAGCGGGAAUCCUGGGAAGGAAUGCCGUCACCUCGUGAGAACGAAUCACGCGCAGCACUACGUCCCUCCUCCACCUCUGAGCGUCCGCUCUCUGGAGGAGAUGAGAGACAAACACCUCCUGUCCGCAUCAGAGAAACACGAGUGCCAGGAGAUGAACUCCAGGGCGUGUGUACAGGGGGUGGACUGUGUCUACCCUGUUUUUUGGGGCGAGCAUGACCUUCCAGAGAGAUGCGUCUUCUUCUCUGUGUACACUGACCUUGAGGACAAAUGGUGUCAGUUUGGGAGGACACGCGUCUCGUUCGACAGCAAGUCUGGCAGCUGGAAGUGUCUGUGUAAGCACAAAAGAAGCCGCUGCGUCCACAAGUGUUUGUGUAUGUGGUGGCUGUUUCAGGAGCGUCCCGAACUGUUGCAGGAUGCCCUAGAUGUCCACCCGGAAAGAGCUUUAAAUGACGACCUCUGCUAGACUCAGCAUCCGUCAGAACUUCUCUCGUUUCCUGUCUUUACUCAAUAAAAACACUGGACGUAACCUUUACUCUGGCUUG
ensembl:lncRNA